UACGUAGGUGGCAAGCGUUGUCCGGAUUUACUGGGUGUAAAGGGCGUGUAGACGGGACUUAAAGUCAGAUGUGAAAUACCGCAGCUCAACUGCGGGGCUGCAUUUGAAACUUAAGUUCUUGAGUGCAGGAGAGGAAAGCGGAAUUCCUAGUGUAGCGGUGAAAUGCGUAGAUAUUAGGAGGAACACCGGUGGCGAAGGCGGCUUUCUGGACUGUAACUGACGUUGAGGCGCGAAAGCGUGGGUAGCAAAC
rnacentral:rRNA from 1 species